rnacentral:rRNA from 1 species
GACGAACGCUGGCGGCGUGCCUAACACAUGCAAGUCGAACGCUGAAGAGAGGAGCUUGCUCUUCUUGGAUGAGUCGCGAACGGGUGAGUAACGCGUAGGUAACCUGCCUGGUAGCGGGGGAUAACUAUUGGAAACGAUAGCUAAUACCGCAUAAGAUGGAUUAUCGCAUGAUAAUCUAUUGAAAGGCGCAAAUGCAUCACUACCAGGCGGAUCUUCGUUGUAUUAGCUAGGUGGUGGGUUACCGGCGCAUCAAGGCGAGGAUACCGAGAGGACCUGAGAGGGCGGUCGGCCACACUGAGACGGUGACACGGCCCAUACGCCUUCAGGUGGCAGCAGUAGGGAUUCUGCAGCAAUGGGCGGAAGUCAGACCGAGCUGCGCCGCGGGAGGAAGGAGGGUUGUCGGAUCGUAGAGCUCGGUUGUAAGAGAAUAACGAGUUUGAGAGUGGAAAGAUCACUCUGUGACGGUAACUGACCAGAAAGGGACGGCUAACUACGUG